GGACGCAGAAAGACUAAGUGGAGCAAUACGAAGCUCGGUCUCUGUCUGCCAGAUGUACCGCACAAUGAGUUCCACCAUAAUUUGGCGCCUGGCCGGUUCCACAGCAAAGGUGACGAGUCCUCGGGAGACAGAGACCGGCAUGGCUAUUGAGACCGGCAUGGCUAUUGCAUAUGGGCGGCCAACACCGGCCGGCUCCGAAAGGGACCUGCAUAUGCGAGGUGCAUUCGCCUUGUUUACAGAGAUUAGUUCGGCUUGUUUAACUAAAGCAGCAUUUAUCUCGA